rnacentral:rRNA from 1 species
GAUGAACGCUGGCGGCGUGCCUAAUACAUGCAAGUCGAGCGAACAGACGAGGAGCUUGCUUCUCUGAUGUUAGCGGCGGACGGGUGAGUAACACGUGGAUAACCUACCUAUAAGACUGGGAUAACUUCGGGAAACCGGAGCUAAUACCGGAUAAUAUUUUGAACCGCAUGGUUCAAUAGUGAAAGACGGUUUUGCUGUCACUUAUAGAUGGAUCCGCGCUGCAUUAGCUAGUUGGUAAGGUAACGGCUUACCAAGGCAACGAUGCGUAGCCGACCUGAGAGGGUGAUCGGCCACACUGGAACUGAGACACGGUCCAGACUCCUACGGGAGGCAGCAGUAGGGAAUCUUCCGCAAUGGGCGAAAGCCUGACGGAGCAACGCCGCGUGAGUGAUGAAGGUCUUCGGAUCGUAAAACUCUGUUAUUAGGGAAGAACAAAUGUGUAAGUAACUAUGCACAUCUUGACGGUACCUAAUCAGAAAGCCACGGCUAACUACGUG